ACAUAAUACGUUCCCUUUGCUAAAAGCAACCACAAGCGAAAAAAAAACAAAUUUCCCUGCUCUUUCCGUCGCCUCCGCCGUCGCCGUAAGACUGUCGAUGGCCGCAGCCACCGCCACCGUCACCUUCUCGCCAUCUCCCCCAUCCUUCCUCAACUCCCAUAUCCCUCGUGGCCACCGACCUGCCUCCACCACGACGAUAGCUUUUGCACGCCGUUUUCGCGGUGUAAAACCUAGUCCCGAUCGCUCCCGAGGCAAGGUCGACCAGGUCGCCCACCCCGACGAUGGAUUCGGCGCACUCGAAGCGGAGCUCUGGCGCCUGCGCCGCCUCGUGGAGCUAAAGAUCCACCGCCUCGGCACCGAGGCCGACGCCGCCUACCGCGACCUACGCUCGGCGGUGCGCGAGGUCAGCGGAGACCGCGUCGUCCUAACCUUCCGCCGCUCGUCGCUGCGCUACCUCACCGGAGCACUCCUCUUCUUGCUCGCCUGCGCCAUCGCGGCGCGAUUGCUGCUGGGGAUGGUCUUACGGGCGUGGCAGCGGCGGGGUUUGAGGAGGGGAUUGUGGGGUGAAGGCGGCAGGGCGGUUGUGCGAAGGAGGGACCGCAGCUUGGGAGGGAAGGAGGUGGUGGUUGCUGUGUCGUCGCCGCCUAAGGAGGCAGCUCGGACCAGUCGUGUCGCAGAGCCAGCAAAGGAGGUCUGGAGGGGGUACUCACAAGCUAAGUUGCCAGACUGGUGGCCCAAUGUUGGAGCGACGGUGAUGGAACCUGGGCCAGAGAUGGAGAAGUGGGCAAGAAUGGCAAACAGAUUGGUCCGAGCAAUAAUUGAUAGUAGAGUCAUGGGGAGGGAUUACAGAUAUGAUGAUGCAAUUCAACUUCGGCAAUUAUGCAAGAUAUCGGGGGUAAAGGUCUGCUUUGAUACUGAAAAUGCUCGUGAUUCUUUCUACAGAGCAGCAGUGAACUUUGUUUUAGAUGAUUGCAGCAGAGCAGCAAAAGACAUCGGUGCAGCAAAACUUAAUGGUGAGGAUCCAAGGGAUUUUCUCGCCGGCCUUGCUAGCAAUAUUGGAUUAGACAAGUUUCGUGCUGCCACUCUUGUAUGUGCAUCAGUUGCUACUCGUACACGGACAUGCUUCUUGCAAUGCUGGGCUCUAGAGAUUCAAGGAAAACGGCCAGAAGCACUGGAUGAACUCGUGAAGAUUUGUAGAAUUCAUUACAUAUUUCCUCCAGAGGACAAUUCUAGAUGGAAAUGGUGGCUGCUGGACUAGAAAAGAAUUUGCAUGUUGCCGAGAGGGUUCACCUUCUAUAUCUAUACAGGAGCGUUUGUACUGCUGGUAACUUAAAAACAGCUGCACAGGCUCUUGGUCUGAGUUUGCCAAAUGAGAAUACAGAAGGAUUUGCAAUGCCCAUUCGUCAACCAUAGAUGAAGGCUUUGAAGCCCCUGACGCAGUUUUGGUAUUCCUACUUUCUUAACAUGCAUUAUGCAGUAUGCUACCAAGACAAGAAUCAAGCAUACUGCAGAUUCCCUUCUCAACAGAAUCUUAGGGACAGAUCUGCACGGGCCCCCCAGACAAAUGCUGAAUCAAUUGUUCCGUUCAUGUGCAUUUGAUAGAGGGGUGCUCUUUAAUAUGUGCAAUGUCAUCAAAACCUCGUAUAUUCAGAUGAUCGAUUCUGCUCACCAAACGCGCCCACCGCCAUGCCUAAUAUCGUGGCCGUAUUGGGAGUAUCAUGGCCGUAUUGGGAGUUCUCUUCUGCAGCUGUAGUUGGUUAGGACAUCUACAACCUGAGUCUUUGAAUUGUUAUUUUAAGAGCUACAAAAACUGUGCGAUGAGAAUUGGUUUUUUAAGAGCUAAAAAACUGUAUGAUAUAAUGAGAUGUCUUCAAUAUUAAUCACAUAAUAAAUAUAGUUAAUAGACAAUGUGUAGUGUAGAGAGACUCUUUGCAAAGAGAUCUCUCUUAUAUUUUUUAUUUAACCCUUAUUUCUGAAAAGGCUGUAUUAAAUGAUAUUGUAUAUGUCAUUAUUUCGUGGUCGUAUUGGGAGUCUGCUGUUGCUGGUUACCAUUGAUUACAGAAGCAAAGAGAAAUUCCUGAUGAGUUGUAUGAUUUUGUUGAGAAAUCGUUGUAUAGGCACACAAGUAGACCCUUCGACCAGAUCUGACUUGGUCGGAAAAAACCUGAUCUAACCUAACCUAGCCAAUAGCCAAUACAAAGGUAGGUAUGUGUCAUAUUUUUUUGACCCGUAAUAAUCCAUGGGUUGAGUGUGGACCAUGAUUGUGGUCCUGUGGACCAUGAUUUUUGACCUAAAAUCUGACCCAAAGCUAAAAAAUCCAAUCCAAUCUAAAAAAACCAGUCCAACAUGUACAAUAGGGAGGCACAUACCAACGUAACACUAGGCAUGAGUCGGGUAUGGGCCACACCAGCCAACCCAUGAUCCGACAAAACAUAUGCGGAUAACUAGACAAGCUAGUACAACUAAGGUUUUGUCUAAAUGUUGCUAUCUUGUAAAAUAAAGUUAUGCAAUCUAAGUUCCAGUCCUACCAACUAGCAUAUAAUCUAAGCUAGAAAUGAUAAACAUACAACUAAAGAAAGUAAUAUAAAUGUGGAAUCUUAAAUAAGAUAGAGAUAUAAACUCCCGUUGUCGUCUUGGUAUUUUUAUCGAGGUAUUAAUAAUUGUGCAAGCUUCUUACUAAUACUCGUUGGUGCCCCUACACAAGGGAAGCACACGCGUGGGGCAAGCACCAUGAUAUACACUACACCAAACCGGUUAACUUUCUAGAGCCUAAAGUUAGCCUUAAACUCUUCGAAAUUAGCUAAACCCUUAGAAGUUAAGCUCUCAGAAAAAUUUGGUCGGAAGGUAGCUUAAUUUCCUAGGGUCCUCUAGGAAGUUAGCUAUAGAUCCAACAACCCCUCUUGGAAGUUAUUUAUUUCCUACGGUUUCCAAAAAGCCCGUAGGAAGUUAUUUGCCUCUAGGAAGUUCACUAGUUUGGUGUAGUGAGGUAACUCCGUAGAUAGCUGCGAGUCUUCUCCAUGCGUAAGUGUUGCUUCGCUUCUAGCCUCUCUCGAAUGCUCCCCGUCGUCUUUACUAUCAAGCUUCCGGCCAAAACAUCACGAGACUCGUUCUCUCCGGUAAAUAGUGGCGACCACACAACAAACACGGUUGGUGUGAUCUCGCUAGACUCUUGCCCCACUUGGUACAAUUACAACGAUGCACGCAAGCGUCAGUGGGUUUGAGGGUGUCUAACCUCGCUCUAAUCACCGAGGCAUAACCUAGAGCAAACGCAAUUAAGCGGUCUAACUAACCUAAACACUUCGCAAAACACCUACGCUAAUCAUCUAGUGAUUCUUUUAGCACUUGGGUGUUUUGAGCUGAAGGAUUUGUGUCUCAACACACCACUAUGUUUCUUGGUUCUCCACACUUGCAAAUAGUCGAUUAGGUGGGUAUAUAUAGAGCCCCAAGACUGAAAGAGUCGUUGGAAGGAAGUAGACUUUUCUGCAUCACACCUGACCGGUCCGGUUGACCAUCUGUGUACACUAGACCAGAUUUGGUGCCUUCCAUAUUAGCUACCCAUUGGAUGUUGCCAGCCUUCUGACAACACAUCGAACCCGUCCAGUGAGUCAGUAGUGUACACCAGACUUGUCCAGCGCUUCCCAUGUCACUUGACCGUUGGAGCUAUAUAUUCUUGACCGUUGAGCCUCUGAGUUUGGUGUGCCACCAGUGUGCAUUGGACUGGUUCGGUGUGCAAUGAGGCUCGGGUGUGUUUUGGACCCUCUCUGAGUGUCGAGUUCAGUGCCAGGUCUGGUGCACCAUAGGACCGGUCUGGUGCACCCAAUUUUAGCCCAACUUCUUUUCUUCAUGUUUCUUUGUUGGGGCUUUUCCUGUCUUGUGUCUUGGUCUCUUGCAUGAUGUUGUUAAGUCUUCAAUGGGUCUUCUAAUGUAUUAUUUAAGGUGUUGCUCUCAAGGUUAUUAAAACGAUGUUAAAAUGACAUUCAAACGUCGUUUAAACGACAAAACGCUAUAUAGGUGGUGAAACGCUGUAACGUUUUCCAAUUUGUCGUAAAACAUUGUUUUAUGUCAUUUGAACUUCACAUUUUGGCGUUUAAACGCUAUAUGCAGUAAAACGUGGCGUUUCUAGUAUUUUAGUAUACUGCUCACCUGUGCAAUUUGGCCCAAUCCAGUCCAGUUCAGCCCUACCCGACCUCAGCCCCUCUCUCACGCUCAAGCCAUCAGAGUUAUUAAAACCUGAAGCUGUUUGAAGCGCUCCCCGCGUUUCGUGGUCGCGUUUUUGCAUAAAGGCCCUCUGUCUUUUCGCGAUUUAGCUCGUGGCCCUUGCUCGAACACCUGUCCGCGUGUGGCACGUAGGCCGGACCCGAUUUUUUCUUCAAUCAAGCUCUGAGCGUCUCCUCUCUUGCCCGCUGUCCACUUCCCUCUCAUCCUCUCGACCUCGCUUCCUCCCUCCCACCGUGCCCUGCCUUUUCCUCACGACCUCGCCGCUGAUUGCGGUCCCCCAUGGAACCGUCGUCCUCUCAAUCCGUCCGCCGCUCCAUCGUCUUCCUGUAUUUGUGCUGCUGAUAUGUGUAACUUGUGUUUCUCCAGGUGAAGGCGGCCGAGCACGCGGCCGAGAUGGAGGCGACGGUGGUCGUCGCGGCUGCCGUGGAGGCCGAGGAGGAGGAGGCUGCUGCUGCUGCGGCUUCGACGCCGCAGCGGUCUGGGAGGAAACGGCCCCGCGCGAUUGGGAGUGGGCGGUACCGCUCGGUGUCCAGGUGUUUCUCCCAAUCUCCCCUGCUUUCCUCAUCCUGCUGCCGCUUUUGCUUUUAAUCGCUGUGACAGCAUAGCACCCGCCUCGUCUCGCUGCCGGCUGCCGCUGGUGAUCCUGCUCCCUGUGGCAUUGGCCCUAGCCAGCAGGCAGGCAGUCGGCCAGGGACGGAUGGACGGAGACGACGGAUGGAAGCCGCAGCCACUAGCCAGCCACACCGCAGACCGCGCACGCAAGAGAAAGAAGCGGUGUUUGCAUGGACUGGGAUUGCCGACUUGACUGCGGAUUGACGGGGACAGGUGGGAGCCAGAACCGCCCGAGGACCCUCUUCUCCUCGGCCAAGAGACCCACACCGCAACUGGAACCCUCUUCUCCUCAUCCGACGACAGUGGUGGCCACUGCUCCGGCCAGGCAUAGCAUAGGCAGCCUGGUUACACAAACCAAAAAAGGUAUCCCAUACCCACGCUACUGCCUACACCUACGAAACCUGCUUAUCCUGCUGCAAUUUCUGCUAAAUUCGUGGCUAAAUUCAAAGAAUGGUAGUGUGAAGUGGAAUCAAAAUGGGAACUGGGUGCAGACUGCCUCAAAGGAUCAGAUUAUUAAGGUCCGUGGCUUGUGCUUUUUAUUUUUCUAUCUUCUUCAAAGAAUUUUCGGAUUACAGUGUGCACUCUAUAACCAGAAUUCUAUACUAUCUAUGGAGAUGGCCUAAUCCAUCCUAUAACCAGGAUCGAUAAGUUUGUUUUUUGAUGCCAGUAAAUUAUUGAUUUUGGUCCAUUUGCUAAUUCAUUUUGCAACUGUAUGACAUUAGAUCCAUGAAAGAGCAGCAAUCCUUCUGAGGGGACGUCGCUGGUUAGAUAGUUAUUACAGUAUCAAGAUUUUUAUAUGUUCCUUUACAUAUUUUAAGGUUCACAAAUUGAUACUGGUUUUAUAUGUAGCAGUUCAUUGUUCACUGUAACCAUACAUGUAAACCAUAAGCAAAUGUGAUGUAGGAGAUUGUUAUAUAAAGAGACUUUUGCAGCCA